AAAAAGGGCAUCUGUCGUGAUUGACACAGUAAAGGACGGAGUUUUCUGUUCUUACUGCGGAAUCGAUAUCAAGAGAUUUCGGAUGCGCAAUUUUUAUGAACAGGGACUGCUAAUGAUCAUCGGUCUUGGCGUCCCG
ensembl:snRNA